GUUUAAGGAUUAUGGUUUAAGGGUUGGGGUUUAAGGUUUAGGUGUUGAAGGUUAAGGGUUAGGGGUUUAGGGUUUAUAGUUUAUAGUUUAUGUUUUAUGAUUCAAGGUUUAGGGGAGGGAUUAUGGUUUGUGGUUUACGGUUUAAGGGUUGGGGUUUAAGGUUUAGGUGUUAGGGGUUAAAGGUUUAUAGUUUAGGGUUUAGGGGUUAGGGUUUAAGGUUUAGGUGGUAGGGGUUAAGGGAUGGGGUUUAGGGGUUAUUGUUUAGGGUUUAAGGGUUGGUGUUUAAGGUUUAGGGUCUUGGGUUUUUAAGAUAGGGGUUAUGGUUUAGGAUUUAGAUUAAUUAGUAUUUUUUAUUUUUAUAUUAAAUAAUUU
rnacentral:lncRNA from 1 species